GCCGAUUUAGCUCAGUAGGUAGAGCAACUGAUUUGUAAUCAGUAGGUCGCCAGUUCGACUCUGGCAGUCGGCACCA
rnacentral:tRNA from 1 species